rnacentral:tRNA from 1 species
AUUUAAAUAGUUUAAUUUUGUAAAACAUAAUAUUGAAGAUAUUAAAAUAAUAAUUAAUAUUUUUAAAUG